AUACGGAGGGUGCAAGCGUUACUCGGAAUCACUGGGCGUAAAGCGCGCGCAGGCGGGCUGAUAAGUUGGAUGUGAAGGCCUACGGCUCAACCGUAGAACUGCAUCCAAAACUGUCAGUCUAGAGUCUGGGAGGGGAAGAUGGAAUUAGUUGUGUGGGGGUAAAAUCCGUAGAGAUAACUAGGAAUACCAAAAGCGAAGGCGAUCUUCUGGAACAGUACUGACGCUGAGGCGCGAAAGCGUGGGGAGCAAACAGGAUUAGAAACCCUAGUAGUCC
rnacentral:rRNA from 1 species